GAUGAAGAACGUAGCGAAAUGCGAUAAGUAAUGUGAAUUGCAGAAUUCAGUGAAUCGUCGAAUCUUUGAACGCACAUUGCGCCCGUCAGUAUUCUGGCGGGCAUGCCUGUUCGAGCGUCAUUACGCCCCUCAAGUCCCCUGUGGACUUGGUGUUGGGGAUCGGCGAGGCUGGUUUUCCAGCACAGCCGUCCCUUAAAUUAAUUGGCGGUCUCGCCGUGGCCCUCUUCUGCGCAGUAGUAAAACACUCGCAACAGGAGCCCGGCGCGGUCCACUGCCGUAAAACCCCCCAACUUUUUAUAGUUGACCUCGAAUCAGGUAGGACUACCCGCUGAACUUAAGCAUAUCAAUAAGCGGAGGA
rnacentral:misc_RNA from 1 species